CAACCGCUGGGACAUCAAAGGGAAUCUAUAAAUACAUCUGCAGGAGGAAAAAUAUAGACACGUUCCUAGCCCCUCCCGGGCCUGCCUCCCUCCCGCUCCGGAUCUUUCCCGGCUGGGCUCCUAGUCCGGCAGCUGGGCCAAAGCCCCCAACCCCAGGGACCCCUCCUGGAAAAGAGGAGGGAAGCAGCUAAUGGUGCCUUGGUUUCCCCUAAUGGGCUCAAUCAACCUCCCUCGCCCUGCAGGGCGACUGAGAAAACAUCCCUGGGCCGGUCCCUGGGAGGCGAAGGAGUCUGCGGGGCUUCUGUGCUGUGCGGAGCAGGCAGGGCCAAGGUUCCUUGUCUUUGCAUCCGAGAUGCCUCUCAGACCACCUGUGUCUCUCCAUUGCCGUGGCCUCUGCCCUGGUCCAGGCUUCUGACUUGCUCUCCUGGCUUAGCGGUCAUCUCCUCCGCGGUCCCCCCGGGACCCUCUGGGUACAUCUUCUUCAAAGGACAGCCAGAGGACCUCUUUGAAAGUUAAAUCAGACCAUCUCACUUGGUCACUCUAACCUCUCUCCUGGCUCCCUAGUGCCCUUGAAAUAAAAUCCAAACUUCUCUACGCUCCCCGUUUUCUCCCCGCCGUCUCCCGCGCUCCCUCCCUCCCAUGGCCCACCUGCUCA